rnacentral:rRNA from 1 species
GACGGGGCCGCACAAGCGGUGGAGUAUGUGGUUUAAUUCGAUGCAACGCGAAGAACCUUACUGGUCUUGACAUCCCGGAGACCCUUAGGAAACUAGGGGGUGCUUCCAUCUGGAAGAAUCUGGAGACAGGUGGCUGCAUGGCUGUCGUCAGCUCGUGUCGUGAGAUGUUGGGUUAAGUCCCGCAACGAGCGCAACCCUUGCCUUUAGUUGCCAGCAGUUCGGCUGGGCACUCUAAAGGGACUGCCGGUGUUAAACCGGAGGAAGGUGGGGAUGACGUCAAGUCCUCAUGGCCUUUAUGACCAGGGCUACACACGUACUACAAUGGCCGAUACAAAGGGCAGCGACACUGCGAGGUGAAGCCAAUCCCGUAAAAUCGGUCUCAGUCCGGAUUGGAGUCUGCAACUCGACUCCAUGAAGUUGGAAUCGCUAGUAAUCGUGGAUCCAGCAUAGCCACGGUGAAUACGUUCCCGGGCCUUC